CACAAGCUGCAUUGCUCGUAGCCAUAAUAAAGUUUUAACCUUUAAGCUGUAAUAGGGAGUUUAAAUCGAAACGGGAAUGCCAGGCCUCUGUCUAUACGACAAGGAGGACAUGCAGGAAUGUUUCUGCAAACACCCACUUUGAGGAGUGGUGGUUUAAAACUUUCUUAUACCUGUUUACGACAAAAGCGGCUAACCA
rnacentral:other from 1 species